rnacentral:rRNA from 1 species
GUUGAAAGAUGGUUUCGGCUAUCACUAUAGGAUGGGCCCGCGGCGCAUUAGCUAGUUGGUAGGGUAACGGCCUACCAAGGCGACGAUGCGUAGCCGACCUGAGAGGGUGAUCGGCCACACUGGGACUGAGACACGGCCCAGACUCCUACGGGAGGCAGCAGUAGGGAAUCUUCCACAAUGGACGAAAGUCUGAUGGAGCAACGCCGCGUGAGUGAAGAAGGUUUUCGGAUCGUAAAACUCUGUUGUAAGGGAAGAACAAGUACAGUAGUAACUGGCUGUACCUUGACGGUACCUUAUUAGAAAGCCACGGCUAACUACGUGCCAGCAGCCGCGGUAAUACGUAGGUGGGCAAGCGUUGUCCGGAAUUAUUGGGCGUAAAGCGCGCGCAGGCGGUCCUUUAAGUCUGAUGUGAAAGCCCUCGGCUCAACCGAGGAGGGUCAUUGGAAACUGGAGGACUUGAGUGCAGAAGAGGAAAGUGGAAUUCYAAGUGUAGCGGUGAAAUGCGUAGAGAUUUGGAGGAACACCAGUGGCGAAGGCGACUUUCUGGUCUGUAACUGACGCUGAGGCSCGAAAGCGUGGGGGAGCAAACAGGAUUAGAUACCCUGGUAGUCCACGCCGUAAACGAUGAGUGCUAGUGUUAGGGGGUUUCCGCCCCUUAGUGCUGCAGCUACGCAUUAAGCACUCCGCCUGGGGAGUACGGUCSCAGACUGA